rnacentral:rRNA from 1 species
UUAAUGCCUUAGGAUUUUGCCUUGGUUAGUGGGGAUAAACGUUUCGGAAACGGACGCUAAUACCGCAUACGUCCUACGGGAGAAAGCAGGGGACCUUCGGGCCUUGCGCUAUCAGAUGAGCNUAGGUCGGAUUAGCUAGUUGGUGGGGUAAUGGCUCACCAAGGCGACGAUCCGUAACUGGUCUGAGAGGAUGAUCAGUCACACUGGAACUGAGACACGGUCCAGACUCCUACGGGAGGCAGCAGUGGGGAAUAUUGGACAAUGGGCGAAAGCCUGAUCCAGCCAUGCCGCGUGUGUGAAGAAGGUCUUCGGAUUGUAAAGCACUUUAAGUUGGGAGGAAGGGUUGUAGAUUAAUACUCUGCAAUUUUGACGUUACCGACAG